rnacentral:rRNA from 1 species
GGGAAGAGCUCAUGACCAGACUUGGGCUUGGUUGAUCAUCCAGGGUUCUCCCUGGUGCACUCUUCCAGCCCAGGCCAGCAUCAGUUCGCUGUGGGGGAUAAAGGCUUUGGGAAUGUGGCUCCUCCGGGAGUGUUAUAGCCCAUUGUGUAAUACCCUGUGGUGGACUGAGGUUCGCGCAUCUGCAAGGAUGCUGGCGUAAUGGUCAUCAGCGACCCGUCUUGAAACACGG